rnacentral:rRNA from 1 species
UGGGGAAUAUUGCACAAUGGGCGCAAGCCUGAUGCAGCGACGCCGCGUGAGGGAUGACGGCCUUCGGGUUGUAAACCUCUUUCAGCAGGGGAGAAGCGAAAGUGACGGUACCUGCAGAAGAAGCGCCGGCUAACUACGUGCCAGCAGCCGCGGUAAUACGUAGGGCGCGAGCGUUGUCCGGAAUUAUUGGGCGUAAAGAGCUUGUAGGCGGUUUGUCGCGUCUGCUGUGAAAGCCCGGGGCUUAACCCCGGGUUUGCAGUGGGUACGGGCAGACUAGAGUGCAGUAGGGGAGACUGGAAUUCCUGGUGUAGCGGUGAAAUGCGCAGAUAUCAGGAGGAACACCAAUGGCGAAGGCAGGUCUCUGGGCUGUAACUGACGCUGAGAAGCGAAAGCAUGGGGAGCAAACAGGAUUAGAUACCCUGGUAGUCCAUGCCGUAAACGUUGGGCACUAGGUGUGGGGAACAUUCCACGUUUUCCGCGCCGUAGCUAACGCAUUAAGUGCCCCGCCUGGGGAGUACGGCCGCAAGGCUAAAACUCAAAGAAAUUGACGGGGGCCCGCACAAGCGGCGGAGCAUGCGGAUUAAUUCGAUGC